CCGAAUCUCUGUGAGUUCGAGGCCAGCCUGGUCUACAGAGGGAGUUCCAGGACAGCCAGGGCUACAUAGAGAGAUAUGGUGGUGGCAGAUAUCUGUAAUUUCGGCACUCAUGAGGUUGAGGUAGGAGAAUUGUUCGAAUUCAACGCCCGUUAGGGCUAUAUAGCUGAAAAGAGUAGAUGCUUAGUUUAACCACAAAGUGGCGCUAGCGAGCUGAGUAGCCAACAGCCGGAGUCUGGCGCUUCCCCUACUCUCACUGAAGAGAACACAACUGUAUGAGGAAAGCUGAGCUGGGAGCCCUGGAGGCCAGCUCCCUCAUCCAGGGGCCUUCACCUUCUUCUAAUGGGCAGCAUGCUGUCAGCAACAGCGUUUAUAGGGGCCUGCAAUGCCCUGGCCUUGGGGAAGGAGGGAAAGAUGAGAGUUGGUCCCUGAUCCUCUGGGGGUGCGGUGGGGACACCAGUCAUGGCUUGAAUCACUCUCAGUAAGUGCCACAUAGGAUGCAGAGACCACAGCAAGAGAAGAGCAGAGGAACACAGGCCACUCUCUGUUUACAACCCAAGGCCAAAGGAACUGGUUACCAGGGUGACAGGCUUGAUUUCAUCUUUAGAGGGAGAAGAACUUAAGCCUGGUGAAAGGCGAAGGGGUCUGAGGAGGAGCAGGAGGAGGAGGGGGGCUAGGGUUAAGAAUGGAUUGACCUCCAGAGAGCCAGAAAAAGCAGGAGGUUUCAUGUGUCUCCUGGGACAGUCUUUGUGAGCAUAAAGGUUAAACCGAAUUAUAGCUGAUAUAUGAGUUUGGUAACUAGAUUCUUGAACAGGUCCCGGCAAUUCAAUCCCCAGCUCCACAGGAACCUCAAGUGACCCUGUGAGGGCCCCUGGCUGUCCCAUCCUUCAGAGCAACAAGGGAUCAGUCAUGGCUCUCUCCCAGGGGGCCUCUUUUCCCUGCUCCUCACACACAGGUGGGAUCUGGCAGAGACCAGAUACCGUACUGACCAUCAUCUAGAGGACCACGUAGAAACCCACCAUCAGAAAAUGGCUGUGUCCCUUGGUUUUGGUACACGGAGGACGACUCCAAGACUCAGAAAAGCUGGCCUCAAACUCAGGGCAAGCCUUCAGCUUCAACCUUCCCAGUGCUGGGAUUCCAAGCUCCGCACGUGAUCAUUACACCCAGCAACAAUUCAUUUGCUUUUGAGAAGACUGAGGGAGGCAAACAGUGGUUCCAGGCAGAUGUGUCUGUAACCCUGAUGAGGCUGACCCGAGUGCUGACAUGCCCAUUAAACACAGUGUUCAUCAGCGCAAAAGGAAGGGAAGCUGUAAUGGUAAAUCUUGGCUGUCACGUUGACUGGCUCUAGAACCAGCUAGGAGCGCUUCACGCACACCUGUGGGGGAUUUUCUUGACUAGGCUGGCUGUGUGGAACCUUCUGCAGAGGCUCUGAGGAGGUCUGAGAGGAGAGUUUGUGCUUUUCUGCCUGCCUGUCUUUGCUUCUUGAUGGUGACCGCUACUGCUGCCGCCAGGAUGUUUCGCUGACGUCAGAAGCCUGUUUCUUUGGACUUUCAACAUGGACUGAAGUCUAGUGUCUCCCCAGUAAUCCUCCAGCCCUUUGAUGAAAGAGAGGGCUAUUGAUUCAUCCGGCCUCAGGGCCCGAGUGGCUCUCUAUUCUCCGUCUCUCUACUGUGAAGACAGACUGUAUCGUGUAAGUCAAUCUAGUAAGUCCCCUUUGUUUUAUGUAUCCGUGCCAUCCAUUCUGUUCCUGUAGUGAAACUUGACUAUACAAGGGCUGACCUCCAAAUCCAGGGCAGUGACUUCUGGGUCACACAGGUGUCUGGGACUCUAGGGCCU